ACGGAAGGCAGCAGCUAAGAAUAUUCCGCAAUGGACGAAAGUCUGACGGAGCGACGCCGCGUGGAUGAUGAAGGCCGGAAGGUUGUAAAAUCCUUUUAUUACCGAGGAUAAGUGCGGGAGGGAAUGCCUGCAUGGUAACUGUAAGUAAUGAAUAAGCACCGGCUAAUUACGUGCCAGCAGCCGCGGUAACACGUAAGGUGCAAGCGUGGUUCGGAAUUAUUGGGCGUAAAGGGCAUGUAGGCGGUCCGUUAAGUCUGGUGUGAAAUCCCGGAGCUCAACUCCGGAACUGCGUUGGAAACUGAUGGACUAGAAUCACUGAGGGGGAGCCGGAAUUCCAGGUGUAGUGGUGAAAUCUGUAGAUAUCUGGAAGAACACCAAUGGCGAAGGCAGGCUUCUAGCAGAUGAUUGACUCUGAGGUGCGAAGGUGCGGGGAGCAAACAGGAUUAGAUACCCUGGUA
rnacentral:rRNA from 1 species